rnacentral:rRNA from 1 species
GACGAACGCUGGCGGCGUGCCUAAUACAUGCAAGUAGAACGCUGAAGGAGGAGCUUGCUUCUCUGGAUGAGUUGCGAACGGGUGAGUAACGCGUAGGUAACCUGCCUGGUAGCGGGGGAUAACUAUUGGAAACGAUAGCUAAUACCGCAUAAGAGUAGAUGUUGCAUGACAUUUGCUUAAAAGGUGCAAUUGCAUCACUACCAGAUGGACCUGCGUUGUAUUAGCUAGUUGGUGAGGUAACGGCUCACCAAGGCGACGAUACAUAGCCGACCUGCGAGGGUGAUCGGCCACACUGGGACUGAGACACGGCCCAGACUCCUACGGGAGGCAGCAGUAGGGAAUCUUCGGCAAUGGACGGAAGUCUGACCGAGCAACGCCGCGUGAGUGAAGAAGGUUUUCGGAUCGUAAAGCUCUGUUGUAAGAGAAGAACGAGUGUGAGAGUGGAAAGUUCACACUGUGACGGUAUCUUACCAGAAAGGGACGGCUAACUACGUG